rnacentral:rRNA from 1 species
UACGAAGGGGGCGAGCGUUGUUCGGAUUUACUGGGCGUAAGGGCGCGCAGGCGGUCUUGAAAGUCAGGCGUGAAAGCCCCGGGCUUAACCUGGGAAUUGCGCUUGAUACUCUGAGACUGGAGUACGGGAGAGGAGAGUGGAAUUCCCAGUGUAGAGGUGAAAUUCGUAGAUAUUGGGAAGAACACCAGUGGCGAAGGCGACUCUCUGGACCGUAACUGACGCUGAGGCGCGAAAGCGUGGGGAGCAAACAGG